UUCUGUAGCAAGGUUAACCGUAUAGGGGAGCCGAAGGGAAACCGAGUCUUAACUGGGCGUUAAGUUGCAGGGUAUAGACCCGAAACCCGGUGAUCUAGCCAUGGGCAGGUUGAAGGUUGGGUAACACUAACUGGAGGACCGAACCGACUAAUGUUGAAAAAUUAGCGGAUGACCUGUGGCUGGGGGUGAAAGGCCAAUCAAACCGGGAGAUAGCUGGUUCUCCCCGAAAGCUAUUUAGGUAGCGCCUCGUGAACUCAUCUUCGGGGGUAGAGCACUGUUUCGGCUAGGGGGCCAUCCCGGCUUACCAACCCGAUGCAAACUACGAAUACCGAAGAAUGUUAUCACGGGAGACACACGGCGGGUGCUAACGUCCGUCGUGAAGAGGGAAACAACCCAGACCGCCAGCUAAGGUCCCAAAGUCAUGGUUAAGUGGGAAACGAUGUGGGAAGGCCCAGACAGCCAGGAUGUUGGCUUAGAAGCAGCCAUCAUUUAAAGAAAGCGUAAUAGCUCACUGGUCGAGUCGGCCUGCGCGGAAGAUGUAACGGGGCUAAACCAUGCACCGAAGCUGCGGCAGCGACACUCUGUGUUGUUGGGUAGGGGAGCGUUCUGUAAGCCGUUGAAGGUGGCCUGUGAGGGUUGCUGGAGGUAUCAGAAGUGCGAAUGCUGACAUAAGUAACGAUAAAGCGGGUGAAAAGCCCGCUCGCCGGAAGACCAAGGGUUCCUGUCCAACGUUAAUCGGGGCAGGGUGAGUCGACCCCUAAGGCGAGGCCGAAAGGCGUAGUCGAUGGGAAACAGGUUAAUAUUCCUGUACUUGGUGUUACUGCGAAGGGGGGACGGAGAAGGCUAUGUUAGCCGGGCGACGGUUGUCCCGGUUUAAGCAUGUAGGCGGAGGUUC
rnacentral:rRNA from 1 species